rfam:Alligator mississippiensis ScZkoYb_108.1, whole genome shotgun sequence.
CAAGAGAAGAACUCUGCCUGGGGAGAGCGAAGCCAGAGAAAACUCUGGUGGAGGCCCGUAGUGGUGCUGACAUGCAAAUCAGUCAUCCGCCCUAGAUAUUGGGGUGAAAAACUAAUUGAACCAUCUAGUAGCU